UGGUACUUGUCUCAAACGGGUCCGAUCGGUUGGUGCUCCGCAAAGGGCGGGGCCAAGAUAUACCGUUAUCAAACGGGCCCGUUACAUUGGUACUCCGCAAAGGGCGGGGCCGAGAUCUACCGUUAUUGACCGUCCUAUUAGGUUGGUACUUGUCGCCAACAUGUACCGUUAUGUUGCCCACUCUCCUAGAAGCAGGUCUGUGAUUGGUCAACGCAAAUGGCGUGACCUAGA
rnacentral:misc_RNA from 1 species